AGUGAACGCUGGCGGCAGGCCUAACACAUGCAAGUCGAACGGCAGCACAAGAGAGCUUGCUCUCUGGGUGGCGAGUGGCGGACGGGUGAGGAAUGCAUCGGAAUCUGCCCAUUUGUGGGGGAUAACCUCGGGAAACCGGGACUAAUACCGCAUACGACCUACGGGUGAAAGCAGGGGAUCUUCGGACCUUGCGCAGAUGGAUGAGCCGAUGCCGGAUUAGCUAGUUGGAGGGGUAAAGGCCCACCAAGGUGACGAUCCGUAGCUGGUCUGAGAGGAUGAUCAGCCACACUGGGACUGAGACACGGCCCAGACUCCUACGGGAGGCAGCAGUGGGGAAUAUUGGACAAUGGGCGCAAGCCUGAUCCAGCCACGCCGCGUGUGUGAAGAAGGCCUUCGGGUUGUAAAGCACUUUUGUUGGGAAAGAAAAGCAGCCGGUUAAUACCCGGUUGUCAUGACGGUACCCAAAGAAUAAGCACCGGCUAACUUCGUG
rnacentral:rRNA from 1 species